AGUGAACGCUGGCGGUAGGCCUAACACAUGCAAGUCGAACGGCAGCACAGUAAGAGCUUGCUCUUACGGGUGGCGAGUGGCGGACGGGUGAGGAAUACAUCGGAAUCUACUUUUUCGUGGGGGAUAACGUAGGGAAACUUACGCUAAUACCGCAUACGACCUACGGGUGAAAGCAGGGGAUCUUCGGACCUUGCGCGAUUGAAUGAGCCGAUGUCGGAUUAGCUAGUUGGCGGGGUAAAGGCCCACCAAGGCGACGAUCCGUAGCUGGUCUGAGAGGAUGAACAGCCAAAAGGGAAAUGGAACACGGCCCAGCCCCCCAAGGGAGGACGCGGGGGGGAAUUUUGGAAAAGGGGGGCAAGCCUGAUCCAGCAAUACCGCGUGGGGGAAGAAGGCCUUGGGGUUGUAAAGCCCUUUUGUUGGGAAAAAAAAGCAGCAGGUUAAAACCCCGCUGUUCUGACGGGACCCAAAGAAUAAGCACCGGCUAACUUCGG
rnacentral:rRNA from 1 species